AAACCAGUCAGCCCUGUUAUAACACUGUUUUCAGCAGAGGAUUCACCUUCAGAUAAAGAAGAGACACCGAGGACAACCUGCGCACACCAGACUCUAACAAACUCAGUGGGAUUCCCUCUUUUCACUCAGGUCAUAACAGCCUUAGGACAACAAUGCCCCUACACACUGUGAUUGUUGCGGCGGCGGCGUUUGGAGCUGUGGGAUUUCUGUUUCUACGCAAUAUGAAAUAUCAAGGGCAUAAAAACAGGCAGCCACAAAACAACUUACCAGGUUCUGAGCAUAAAAACAAGGAGCCACAAAACAACCGACCAGAUUUUGAGCACGGACGCGCCAAUGAGAAACACCCUAAUAAAAAAUACAAUUAGAGGCCUUGCUCCGGUUUCAUCACACAACCUCUACAGAGUUUGGAAUCAAGAUGAAUGACGAUUAAUCAUUUUGACAAAGAAGUCUUCAGAUGUGUGUUUUUAUAAUCAAAUAAUCAUACCUGUCACCAGUAACAUAAAUGAGUAAUCUGUUUUCUGAC